rnacentral:rRNA from 1 species
GAGCCUUGAUGUGUAGGAUAGGUGGGAGGCUUUGAAGUGUGGACGCCAGUCUGCAUGGAGCCGACCUUGAAAUACCACCCUUUAAUGUUUGAUGUUCUAACGUUGGCCCCUAAUCGGGGUUGCGGACAGUGUCUGGUGGGUAGUUUGACUGGGGCGGUCUCCUCCUAAAGAGUAACGGAGGAGCACGAAGGUUGGCUAAUCCUGGUCGGACAUCAGGAGGUUAGUGCAAUGGCAUAAGCCAGCUUGACUGCGAGCGUGACGGCGCGAGCAGGUGCGAAAGCAGGUCAUAGUGAUCCGGUGGUUCUGAAUGGAAGGGCCAUCGCUCAACGGAUAAAAGGUACUCCGGGGAUAACAGGCUGAUACCGCCCAAGAGUUCAUAUCGACGGCGGUGUUUGGCACCUCGAUGUCGGCUCAUCACAUCCUGGGGCUGAAGUAGGUCCCAAGGGUAUGGCUGUUCGCCAUUUAAAGUGGUACGCGAGCUGGGUUUAGAACGUCGUGAGACAGUUCGGUCCCUAUCUGCCGUGGGCGCUGGAGAACUGAGGGGGGCUGCUCCUAGUACGAGAGGACCGGAGUGGACGCAUCACUGGUGUUCGGGUUGUCAUGCCAAUGGCACUGCCCGGUAGCUAAAUGCGGAAGAGAUAAGUGCUGAAAGCAUCUAAGCACGAAACUUGCCCCGAGAUGAGUUCUCCCUGACUCCCUGAGAGUCCUGAAGGAACGUUGAAGACGACGACGUUGAUAGGCCGGGUGUGUAAGCGCAGCGAUGCGUUGAGCUAACCGGUACUAAUGAACCGUGAG